rnacentral:rRNA from 1 species
UACGUAGGGUGCAAGCGUUGUCCGGAAUUAUUGGGCGUAAAGAGCUCGUAGGCGGUUUGUCGCGUCGAAUGUGAAAACCCGGGGCUCAACUCCGGGCCUGCAUUCGAUACGGGCAGACUAGAGUUCGGUAGGGGAGUCUGGAAUUCCUGGUGUAGCGGUGAAAUGCGCAGAUAUCAGGAGGAACACCGGUGGCGAAGGCGGGACUCUGGGCCGAUACUGACGCUGAGGAGCGAAAGCGUGGGGAGCAAACAGG